AGGAUAAACGCUGGCGGCGUGCCUAACACAUGCAAGUCGCACGAGAAAGUGGAGCAAUCCACGAGUAAAGUGGCGCACGGGUGAGUAACACGUGAAUAAUCUACCUCCGAGUGGGGAAUAACUGAGAGAAAUCUUAGCUAAUACCGCAUAAUACCCACGGGUCAAAGCAGCAAUGCGCUUGGAGAGGAGUUCGCGGCCGAUUAGCUAGUUGGCGGGGUAAUGGCCCACCAAGGCGAUGAUCGGUA
rnacentral:rRNA from 1 species